GGGCCGGUAGUUCAGCUGGUACGAACGCCGCCCUCGCACGGCGGAAGUCGCGGGUUCAAAUCCCGCCCGGUCCA
rnacentral:tRNA from 1 species